CUACGGAGGGUGCAAGCGUUAAUCGGAAUUACUGGGCGUAAAGCGCGCGUAGGCGGCUUGAUAAGUCGGAUGUGAAAUCCCCGGGCUUAACCUGGGAAUUGCAUUCGAUACUGUCAGGCUAGAGUGUGGUAGAGGGAAGUGGAAUUUCCGGUGUAGCGGUGAAAUGCGUAGAUAUCGGAAAGAACAUCAGUGGCGAAGGCGGCUUCCUGGAUCAACACUGACGCUGAGGUGCGAAAGCGUGGGGAGCAAACAGGAUUAGAAACCCGGGUAGUCC
rnacentral:rRNA from 1 species